rnacentral:misc_RNA from 1 species
CUUUUUGCAUGCUUCCAUACACCUAAACCAAAACAGAACAUCAAAACACACUUCCAUCAUCAAUAUAAGGGGGAAAACAAGACAUACUGGUUUUUAAGAUAGACCAAAUUGUGACAUCAUAGUUCAACUUGAGAAUUUCAAGUCAACCAAAUAAAAUGUCAACUAUAUACCCACAUAAUCAUCAUUCAAAUGGUAAAUACAAAGUAAAAAAGGAAAUAAUAAAUCAAAAUUAGGUGGUAUAGGGAGUACAUGAAAACCAGAAAAUAAAAUCUAAUUUACUUCGCUAGAUAAAAUAUAUUCUUAACCCGCUAUAUAGAUAAAUAAAUCACUCAGGAACUCCACCAACGAUUUUAAAAAUGCUUGCAGGCACCUAUAUCAUCACAAUUCCUCUAUAUCUCUCCCCACCUCCCCCAAUUAUUUAUGGCUCUAUGUAUCAAUAUCAAUUAAUCAGUACGCAGUAUCUACAAUACAGGCAAAAAAUGAAAUGAAUUUUGCUUUAACCAUUCUUCAAAUAACAAAGACUUUGCAAAAAUCUUCAAACCUUUCAUUUGUCACACCAGACAUAGUAUCCAAUUGAUCCAUCACUGACGUGAAAUUAACGCAACCAAACAUUUUUUGCACGAAGCAACUUCAUUGCUAUAUCAUGCAAGCAAUUUAAAAUUAAGUUAUAUGUUAACCUUGAAAAAGCAAAAUAAAAACUCGCCCAUAUCAAUUACAGGACUUGCAGCACCAAUAAUAACAAUCAGAGC